rnacentral:tRNA from 1 species
GGGCUAUUAGCUCAGUUGGUUAGAGCGCACCCCUGAUAAGGGUGAGGUCUCUGGUUCAAAUCCAGAAUGGCCCACCUUA